UACUGCUAGAUGGGUAUAAAGAUAAAGAAAAUUUGGCAGUUGUACCUUUUGUAUCAGGGGAGUUUAAAAGAAGUUAUAGUUGUUUAUCGAGUGAUGUGGAACUUUCUAUUAAGGUAAUAGUUGAACUUAUUACUGUAAUUUUUUAUGGGGUGAUAAGUGUACGACACGUUUGGUUUCUAUUUACUUUUUUAAGGGGGGGGGUAAAGCUCUUCUUUGUCUAUAUGGACUAGACUGACUUAAAGAAAACAAGGCUUUAAAUUAGCCAGGCUAUUAAAUUGUUUUAAAUAAUCUUAAAAUUCUAAUAUAGGUAGAUUUAAAAGGUUAACUUUAGUAGCACUAUCUUAGACCGAUAAUGAAUUUAUUGAAUAUAAGGUGAAAAUAUAAAGUUACUCAGGGUAAAUUAGAAGGUUUAGCAAAAACAUUUUUACUAAAGAGCUUAGUAGUAGAGCCUGCCCGGUGAGUAUUAAACGGCUGCGGUAUUUUGACUGUGCUAAGGUAGCAUAAUCAUUUGUUUCUUAAUUGGUAACUGGAAUGAACGGUUGAACUGGUUUGACAAGUGUGUAUGUUUAAAUAGAAAAUUAAAGUCAAGGUAAGAAUUCUUUGAUAGUUUAGGGGACGAUAAGACCCUAUAAGCUUGAUAGAUAUAUGAUAGGUUUGUUUUUUAAGUUAGUUUGUUUUACUGGGGCGGUACUAGUAUUUUAACUAUUAGUUAACUUAGGAUCCUUAAAAUAUAGAUGGCACGGAAAAGUUACUUUAGGGAUAACAGUGCAAUAUUUUUGGAGAGACCUUAUCUAUAAAUGUGUUUGCAACCUCGAUGUUGAAUUAAAAUUUCUACGUGAAGCAGGAGGUACGAUAGAAGGUUUGUUCAACCUUUAAAUUUUUACAUGAUUUGAGUUCAAAUCGGUUUAAGCCAGAUUGGAUUUUAUCUCUAAAUAAGUUUAAAUCCACUUUAGUACGAAAGGGUUGAUUGGAUUUUGUUAGC
rnacentral:rRNA from 1 species